GAGACUUUAGUCAAACAGCUCUCUGCGGCCAGGUCUGGGAAGACAGCUUCUCCACUGGUUUUUAGGAAAAUGGUAGAGAAAACAACAGGAUCUUCUUUCCCGUGCUUACUGCUUCCCACAACCUUCAGUGGAGUGAUCCCUCUCUUUGCACAAUGGUAAAGACCCAGGAUUUGAGCAGAAACCCAGACACUUCUCCCGGAAGUACAGUACAUAUUCUCCCCGAAGCACCUGGCUGCCUCAUAGAGACAAAUUGCAGGGAUGGUCACAGAACUCACACUGAGUGCCUGCUAUGUUCAGAUUGGGAGGUAAAAGAAAGCUGGAGAGAGGCAUCUUCAGAGAAGGAGCUUCACAGAGGAGAGGUGAUUCUUGGCCAGAGAGCACUUGGUCUGUAACACGGAUGCCGCCCUAGGAAUUCAGGAUUCCAGAAACUCUUGGUGGAUUAAGUCACCACAUUCUCAAUGAGAUUACUCACCAGGAUGCUUAUCCACUAUCUGCUUCCUUUGAUAAAGUCACUCCUGAUUGUUUCAAUGUGUGGAUCUACCGAUAAAAUCACAUCAUUGCCCUUCUGUCAUCUAUCUAUUCAUACCCUAUGCUUAUGACUGAGACAUUAACAGGGUGAUGGCUCUCUCUGAUUCCCUCCUUCCAAGUGUCAUCAGCCCCAAUAUAAAAAGGUUGUGAGAUGUUUAAAAUGGUUGUGAAUAGAAAAUUCGCAUUCUUGCUUCAGGUUGUGGAACUCCUAACCAGUCUACAGAACCCCAAGCCCUGUAGCCGCAGCAUUUGCUUCUGUGGAAGAUGCUUCAACUACUUUACCUGUAAAACUGCUGUCGUCCAAGAGGAGUGGGUUCCUGCCGCUGGAAUGCCGGGCUGUCACCCUUGGUUCUCCUGAUACGCUUACAGUUUUGCUGAGGAAACAAAUAUACAUACUUGAGACAUUAACCGUGCAAGUAGACGGGAUAUAAGACUCUGCGUCUAUAUAUGAAACUCUCCCAUCCCGAGGGAAGGUUGAGUUUAGGUUAAUUCACACAGAAAAACUAAAUGGAAAGAGCAGUAUAGGUUUCAUGAAGGACUGAAGCCCUGGAGCCCCCAGAAGAUCGUGAAGAAGUUAAUGGAUUAAGGGGUACAGUCAGCAUGCACCUGUCCGAGAUCGUAAAGUUGUGACCAGAGCGAGCAUCUUUGAAAGACAAAUUCCGACCUCUGGAGAGAAACAUGCCAUGGAAUUACUGAGAGUGGCACAUCAGCUUCUUCCGUGUGGAAGCACAGAGGAGGGAUGCCUCUUGCUAAAUAAUGUUGCAGCCACACGUGGCACAGAGUUCAGAGACCUCGGGGAGGCCAGGAGCAGAUUCAUCUGCAAACUCAGCCUUCACUCUCUUAAGAAUGAGUUAGUAUUAUAGAAAACAAAAGGGAAAGGGAGGUGGGGGAGAGAUAAGUUAGACGUAUGGGAUUAAGAGAUACAAAUUACUAUACAUAAAAUAGAUAGGGACUUCCCUGGCGGUCCACUGGUUGAGACUCCAAGCUUGCACUUCAGGGGGCAUGGGUUUGAUCCCUGGUCGAGGAACUAAGAUCCCGCAUGCUGCACGGCGUGGCUAAUAAAUCAAUAAACAAAUAAAUAAAUACAUAAAUACAUAAGCAACAAGGAUUUACUGUAUAACCCAGGGAACUAUACUCAAGAUCUUAAAACAAU